rnacentral:rRNA from 1 species
GAUGAACGCUGGCGGCGUGCCUAAUACAUGCAAGUCGAGCGAACAGACGAGGAGCUUGCUCCUCUGACGUUAGCGGCGGACGGGUGAGUAACACGUGGAUAACCUACCUAUAAGACUGGGAUAACUUCGGGAAACCGGAGCUAAUACCGGAUAAUAUAUUGAACCGCAUGGUUCAAUAGUGAAAGACGGUUUUGCUGUCACUUAUAGAUGGAUCCGCGCCGCAUUAGCUAGUUGGUAAGGUAACGGCUUACCAAGGCAACGAUGCGUAGCCGACCUGAGAGGGUGAUCGGCCACACUGGAGGUGAGCCACGGUCCAGACUCCUACGGGAGGCAGCAGUAGGGAAUCGGCCGCAAUGGGCGAGAGCCUGACGGAGCAGCGCCGAGUGAGUGAUGAAGGUCUUCGGAUCGUGAAGCUCUGUUAUUGGGGAAGAACAAAUGUGUAAGUAACUAUGCACUUCUUGACGGUACCUAAUCAGAAAGCCACGGCUAACUACGUG